UACGUAGGGCGCAAGCGUUGUCCGGAAUUAUUGGGCGUAAAGAGCUCGUAGGCGGCUUGUCACGUCGGGUGUGAAAGCCCGGGGCUUAACCCCGGGUCUGCAUUCGAUACGGGCUGGCUAGAGUGUGGUAGGGGAGAUCGGAAUUCCUGGUGUAGCGGUGAAAUGCGUAGAUAUCUGGAGGAACACCGGUGGCGAAGGCGGCAUCCUGGACCAACACUGACACUGAUGAGCGAAAGCCAGGGGAGCAAACGGG
rnacentral:rRNA from 1 species